GUCUGCUCGCUUUAAGGAACAGUCUGGCCUGCCCACUGAUUUAAUUUUUUAAAGGCCGCGGUACCCUGACCGUGCGAAGGUAGCAUAAUAAUUAGUCUUUUAAUUGAAGACUAGAAUGAAAGGUCGGACAAAAAGCAAACUGUCUCAGCUUUAAAAAUUGAAAUUAACUUCUAAGUGAAAAGGCUUAGAUAAAUCUAAAGGACGACAAGACCCUAUAAAACUUUAUAUUUGUACUGGUAAUUAACUAAUUUUUAGUGAAAACUUUAUUAAAAAUGCAAAUAUUUCGUUGGGGAGAUGAAAGUAUAACACUUAACUGCUUUUACUUCAUACAAUAAUCUUUGAAUUUUACUGACCCCUUUUAGGAUCUCAAGAAAAAGUUACUUUAGGGAUAACAGCGUUAUUUUUUUUGAGAGUCCUUAUCGACAAAAAAGUUUGCGACCUCGAUGUUGAAUUAAAAUUUCCUUGUAAUGCAGCAGUUUCAAAGGUAGGUCUGUUCGACCUUUAAAAUUUUACAUGAUUUGAGUUCAAACCGGCGCGAG
rnacentral:rRNA from 1 species